rnacentral:tRNA from 3 species
GCGCCUGUAGCUCAAUGGAUAGAGUACUGCCCUCCGAAGGCAGGGGUUGCUGGUUCGAUCCCAGCCAGGCGCGCCA